rnacentral:rRNA from 1 species
AAGGCUUACGGUGGAUACCUAGGCACCCAGAGACGAGGAAGGGCGUAGUAAGCGACGAAAUGCUUCGGGGAGUUGAAAAUAAGCGUAGAUCCGGAGAUUCCCGAAUAGGAAAGGUACUUGUUGAUUCAUCGCCAGAGAUGGCUUAGAACCA